rnacentral:lncRNA from 1 species
AGUCACCCUGCAGUGACCCGGCCAGUACAGCCAUGCCGGGUCUCAGCUCUGCUCACCCGCGCAGCUCCCAGAAACUUCCCCGGCUUGUCUCCACUGGAAUCGGGAUGGAAGGGAGCCACGGCUGGCUCAGCCCCUCUCGGAGCAGAAAGAGGAAACUUCUGAAAAGAAGAUGGGGGCUGGGGGAGGACAUCAAUCAGCACGGACAACAUGUAUCCUAAAAUUGGAAUGACACAUGGAAGGCGGCACGGCCCCCAAGAGUGACAUGCAAAUUGGUGAAACAUUUCACAUUUUUGGAAUCCAGAAGAUGAUAGAGUGACAUCUUUAAACUGCUGAAAGAAAAAAGCCAAACAAACUGGCCAACCUUUUGGAGGAGAUAGUCUUCAGAAAUGAAGCAUAAACAAAAAUAUCUCCAAACAAAAGCUAAGAAAAUUCAUCACCAGCAGCUCCACCUCCAAGAAACCCCAGAGCAAGUUCUUUGGGCUGAAGGAAAGGGACCCCAGUGGAAGCAUCAAAAUGCAGGAAGGAAUGAAAAACACAGAAAAGGGGAAAUAUUGGGUGAAUAUACAAAAAUGUUAGCUACGUAAGGUAAAAAUAAACGAGUCAAUGCUAAAACGUCUAUCAGUGGUGCCAGGGCGGGAGAGGAACAAUGGAACCAGAACAUUUACCAAAAUAGACCAUAUGCUGGGCCCUAGAGCAAGUCUCAACAGAUUUCAAAGGGCUGAAAUCACAUAAGAGUGUGUUCUCUGACCACAGUGCAAUUAAACAAGAAAUUAAUAACAGAAAGAUAAUUGGAGAAUCCCCAAGUGUUUGGAAAUUAAGCAACAUACUUCUCAAUAACCUCUGGGUCAGAGAAGAAAUCACAGUGGAAAUUAGGAAAUACUUUGAACUGAGUGAUGAUGAAAAUAAACAUUGAAACUUGUGGGAAGUGGCUAAAAAAAUGCUUAAGUGGAGACUUUUAGCUUAAAAUGCAUGUAUUAGGAAAUAAGAAGGAUGAAAAUCAAUGAUCUAAGUUUCUGUCUCCUAAAACUAAAAAAACAAAAACCCCAAAACCGAGUAAAUUAAGCCUAAAGAAAGUGAAAGGUAACAAAGACUUGGAACCAACCCUAAUGUUCAUCAAUGAUAGACUGGAUUAAGAAAAUGUGGCACAUAUACACCAUGGAAUACUAUGCAGCCAUAAAAAAGGAUGAGUUCAUGUCCUUUGCAGGGACAUGGAUGAAGCUGGAAACCAUCAUUCUCAGCAAACUAUCACAAGGACUGAAAACCAAACACUGCAUGUUCUCACUCAUAGGUGGGAAUUGAACAAUGAGAUCACUUGGACACAGGGCGGGGAGCAUCAAACACCGGGGCCUGUCAGGGGGUGGGGGGCUGGUGGGGGAGAGCAUUAGGAGAAAUACCUAAUGUAAAUGAUGAGUUGAUGGUUGCAGCAAACCAACAUGGCACAUGUAUACCUAUGUAUCGAACCUGCACAUUGUGCACAUGUACCCUAGAACUUAGAGUAUAAUAAAAAAAGAAAGAAAGAAAGUGAAAGGAAGAAUGUAAUCAAGACAGGAGUAGAAAUUAAUGAAUUAAUUGGGAGCAAUAGAGAAAAUAAAACCCAGGUAGGUGUUUGAAAAGAUUAAUAAAAGAUUAGUAAAAUGGACAGGCUCAGGUGCAGUGGCUCAUGCCUGUAAUCCCAACACUCUGGGAGGCCAAGGUAGGAGGAUCACUUGACCCAAGGAGUUUGACAUCAGCCUGGGCAACAUAAUGAGACUCCAACUCUACAAAAAUUUUAAAAAAAAUAGCUGGGCAUGGUGGUGGAUGCCUGUAUUCCCAGCAACUUGGGAGGCUUAGAUGGGAGGAUAACUUGAGCCCAGGAGGUUGAGGCUGCAGUGAGCAGUGAUCACACUGUUAUGGGACCUUUGGGGUGUUAAUUUUCUGGCCGGAAACCUCUGUGGUCAUGGCACCUUUGCCUGAGCUCUUGUCCUGCAUCCAGAAAGAAUGAGGUACACAGACAAAUGAAGGAUGAAUAAGAUAAAGAUGAGCUUUACUGAGUGUUAUAACAGCUCAGGCCCACAGUGGGUAGCUCCUCUCUGUAGGCAGGUCAUUGAGUGUUCCAUUCGCAGCAGAGAGGAGGCCCUGGAGAGGGUACUCCUCUCUGUAACUGGUCAUCCUGAUGUCUGCAGCUCUCAGCAGAGAGGAGGCCCUGGAAAGGCUGGCUCCUCUCUGCCAGCAGGCCAUCUCUGUAGCUCUCAGCAGAGAGGGUAGUUCCUCUCUGGAGCUGGUUGUUCCAUCAUCUCCAAAGGGUAGCUCUUCUCUGCAGCUGGCCAACGUGUUGUCUCUCUGCCCUCUUCGUCCUCUGACCAUCCUCUACCCUGUUCUGGCAGAGCCCAGGGCUUUUAUGGACUUCAGAGGGGAGGAAGUUCAUGCCGACUGGUCAAUGGAUGGCCAUGGAUGGGCCCAGAAGAGGCACCCAAGUCCCCAUUCUGGUCUGUGGGACUGACAGCCUGGCCUCCAGCCUUCGGGCUCUCCUCAGCCUGAGGGUGGGGCCUUACUGGGGACCCACCUGCUUCUACCCACUAAUCUGUCUGCCUCCCACUGCCAUUCAUAGUCCCAAGGCUUGGCCCCAACCCCAUUCCAAGAUCAGAGCGGGUACUGGAGCAGAGAGAGGCCAGACAGUGAGAGCAGACAUUCUGGAGCCAGCAGGGAUGGGGUGAGGGCCUCUCCUGGGCCCUCGAGGGUGUAGGCUGCAGAGACAUCCAGGUCCUGCACCUGGGAGGGUGGCUGCAGAAGCACCUGGGGAGCUCCCGUCCCAACUCAGAAGGGGCAGGGCCUCCACUGGCUCCAUGGAGUGUGCAGCCCCAGCCGUGCCCCCUGCUAUAGCUGGCAUGGUGGCAGCAGCCGCUAUCGACACCACUGCACGGCAGCCUGGGUGACAGAGCAAGACUUUUGUCUCAAAAAUAAAAUACAAUAAAAUAGACAAUUCCAUCAAUAAUGACCAAGAGGGAAAAAAAUAGGAAAAACUCACGUUUUUAAAAUUCUAAUAUCAGAUAUAAAACGAGGCCCUCACUGUGGUAGAGGCUAAUGAUAUUGUAAAUGUAACAAGAGGAUAUUACAAACAAUUUUGUGCCAAUAAAAGUGAAAACCUAGAUGAAAUGGACACAUUCUUUAAAAACUACAAUUUAGCGGCUGGGCAUGAUGGCUCAAGCCUGUAAUCCCAGCACUUUGAGAGGUCGAGACGGGCGGAUCACCUGAAGUCGGGAGUUAGAGACCAGCCUGACCAACAUGGAGAAACCCCGUCUCGACUAAAAAUACAAAAUUAGCCAGGUGUGAUGGCGCAUGCCUGUAAUCCCAGCUACCCAGGAAGCUGAGGCAAGAGAAUCGUUUGAAACCGGGAGGUGGAGGUUGGAGGUUGUUGUGAGCCAAGAUCGUGCCAUUGCACUCCAGCCUGGGCGACAAGAGCAAAGUUCCGUCUCAAAACAAACAAACAAACAAAAAACCCCUACAAUUUAGCAAAACUGAUACAAGAUUAAGUAGAAAAUCCAAAGAAUCAUCUACUGUUAAAAACAAUUAAAUCUGUAAUUUAAACCCUUCUCACAAAGAAAACUCCAGACUCAGGUGGUUUCACUGGUAAUUUUCCAAACAUUUAAGAAAUAAUACUUAUCUUAUGCAAACUCAGAAACAGAACACAGGAAAUAAAAAAGGAACAUCCCCCCCCAACUCAUUUUAUGAGGCCAGAAAAAUUCUGAUAUUACAGCUAGGCACAAAUCUUACAUAAGAGAUAUUUACAGACUGAUAUGGUUUGGCUGUGUCCCCAUCCAAAUCUCAUCUCAAAUUGUAAUCCAAAUUGUAAUCUCCAUGUGUCAAGGAAGGGACCUGGUGGGAGGUGAUUGGAUAAUGAGGGGGUUUUCCCCCAUGCAGUUCUCGUGAUAGUAAGCGAGUUCUCAUGAGAUCUGGUUGUUUGAUGAGUGUCUGGCACUUCCCCCUUCGCUCUCUCUCCUGCCACCUUGUAAAGAAGGUACAUGCUUCUCCUUUGCCUUCUGCCAUGAUUUUAAGUUUCCUGAAGCCUCCUCAGCCAUGCUGAACUGUAAGUCAAUUAAACCUCUUUCCUUUAUAAAUUACCCAGUCUCAGGUAGUGUCUUUAUAGCAGUGUUAGAAUGGACUAAUACACAGACUUAUAUCUGUCAUGAAUAUAGAUGAAAAAUUCUAAGUAAAAUGUUAGUAAAUCAAAUCCAGAGAUAUAUUAAAAAGAUGAUACCUCAAGACCAAGUAGAACUUAUUCCAGAAAUACAAAGUGGAUUUAACAUUUGAAAAAAAAUCAAUCAAUGUAAUUUUCCAUAAUAACAGAAUAAAGGAGAAAUAUCACACAAUCAUGCCCUUUGAUGCAGAAAAACAUUUGAUAAAAUUCAACACUUAUUCAUGAUAAAAACUCUCCAACAAUUAAGAAUACAUUUUUAAAGGAACUUCUUUAAUCUGAUAAGGACUAUAUAUUUUUUAAAACCCUACUGUUAACAUAAAUGCAACUAUUGAGCACUUUCUUCUUGUCAGCCAUGAUCACCACUUUGGCUCAACCUGGUACUGGAGGUCCUGCCCCGUGCAAUAAGGCAAGAAAAAGAAAAAGGCAUGAAGAUUGGAAAGCACCAAAAACCACCCAGAAGACAGCUCAGUGGACCCUAGCAGUGGAUUCUACAUGUCUGCAGAAAAUGAGCAGAAAACAAGCCAGAGUUACAGCUAUCUGCAGAGAGACUACAUCCAGGAGGUCUGAAGACUGAAAGUAAUCACUGCAGUCUGACUUCUACCACUGACACCCUUCCCAUACAUAAUUUAAAUGUGUAAUUAUAAUACCAUUGCUUAGUUAACGGACACCAAUUCGUGCAGGAGCUGCCACAAACAGUAAUAAACCAGCUGUGUUAGAAAUGGAUCACUUAUCAGUGCGUGCCCAAGCCUCCUAAUGCCUCAUGAUGUUUAAUAAUUAAAUUGUGACACCUUGAACCCGCAGCUGACACCAUGAAUCACAGUGGAAUUCUCCAAAUGGAAUGCAGCCACACCUCAGCUUCUGUGCUGCGUGCUGCCACUGAGGACAUUCGAUACCAUUGAAGCCGUCAGAUAGAGGCCGUAUUUCAAAAGGUCUACGGUGGCUCCGUUUCUUCUCUGAGACUUCAAAAGUCCUUCAAGAGUGAGUUCCCGUCUCAUUCUAUGUCCAGGAUGAAGACGGAUGGCCUCUUGGCACCCAUCUCUUUGGCAUGAACGAUGUGGGGAAACGUGAAUGGAAAUGGGGAACUGUUGCUGGCACCCAGAAGUCAUCCGGUCCGGAUGAAGCCAAGUCACAAGGAAGUGCCUCCAAUUAUUCUUCAUAAAUUCCUCUGAGGUUUCACUUCUUGUCCACACAAGACUUUAAUAAAAUGUGGCAUCUAACUGAAUAAAGACUAUCCUUUCGGGUGUGUGUGUCAUGACAGUACUAUUUAUGGAGGACCUCCUGUGUAGCAGUUCUUGCACUGUUUUACGUAAUCAUCCCCUUUCAUCCUAACAAUCACUCCUGUGAAGUAUGUGUCCUUAUUUUCAUUUCGUUGUAGAGAAAACCAAGGCUCUGAGACAUUAAGCAAUGUGCCCAAGGACACACAGCUAGUAAGUGGCUGGAUUUGAGCGCAAGCCUACAAGAAACUGUAAGUUUCUUAUUUGUAUUUAUUAAUUCAUCAUAUUGUCAUUUCUUCAAAAUGCAACUGAAUCUCAUAAAAUGUCAGUGGCAGAAUCUAGGUGGAAGGUGCCCUGGUAUUCACUGUAAAAUUCCUUCAACUCGGCUGUAUAUUUGAAAAUUUUCAUGUUACAAUAUUAGGAAAAAAACCCUUGAUUUCCAGGUGUUUUUUCACCUGGACAAACUUGAGAACUUUGGAAAAGCUGGCUUACCUCCUCGAAUUCUAGUUGGCUGGCUUGGCUGGGUUGGCUGGGUGGGCCCUGGCACCCUCCACUCAAUGCCCACCUGCAUGUUAAAACGGGUCCUGCUAGGACCCUGGGCAGCCCAGGCACUUCUGACACAUGCCACAGACUUCCUCUGUACAGUAGAAUAGAUGUCCCUUAGGAAUAAAAAAAAAAAACAGGCAGCUUUCUGGUCGAAUACCACUCUAUGACACCUUCUGGGACCUUCCCUCCAAGUUUCUUCUACCAGAUCAACAAGAAGGAUUCAACUUGGUGUCUCUGUGUGUUUUGCUGUCUCAUGCUGCUUAUAAACUGCUUUGCCUUUAGCAAUGUCCCUCAGUUAUCUUGUUCUAAGGCUACAAUUAAGAAGGAAUCACUGUUGUGGAGGAACUCAGAGGCACCUCCAGCUCCCAUUAGCUGGUCCCUUAAUGCCGCUGAUGCGAGGCUCUGACAGUAAUUACUUUGCAAGUAUAAUGAGAUACUUAUGGGUCCAUCAGGUGCCCAACCCAUAGCAUGAUAUGAAAUAUGAAGAGUUAAGCUGGUGGGUAAUUUACACAACUGUCUACCAAGUCUCUCCAGGAUGAUUAAGAAAAGGAAAUGCCGGAUUGAAAAGAUGCCAAGCUUCCAGAGCGCGUUCAUGUGGCUCGAUUGACAGUGGCAACCAUUAUCGUCAUCACCGUCAUCGCUGCUUUUAACGGUUAAUGAUAAUAAGCCGUCACACACGGAUGCAGCACUUUGCAAUGCACAAAGCCCUCUUGCACUCAUGCUCUCCAGCGCUCCUCACUGCCAUCUGGGAAUCUCCACUUUGCAGAUGUGGAAACUGAAGCUCGGACGAUGGCAGUGACUCGCCCUGCUAGCCCUGCCGAGAGAGGUCUGCCUUUGCCUCCCUGAUUCUGAAUCAGAUAGGGUCAGGACUCCCUCUAUUCCCCUGGGCUCCUCAACCUGGCGCCCUCACCGCUUACUUGCGGGCCCCUCCUGCCCUCUUCUGCUCCAGACGGCAGGCUCUCUGAGGCAGGACUCUGAUUGGACAGCUUGGAUCAUGUGCUCAUUCAAAAGCCAAUCAGCAGCAGGGGGCUUGGCUCUGUAUUCACUCUUCCCAUGUUAGCUGCCCUUUUUUUUUUUUUUUUUUUUUUUUUUUUUGAGACACAGUCUCAUUCCUCUGCCCCGGCUGGAGUGGAUCUCAGCUCAAUGCAACCUCCACCUCCUGGGUUCAUGUGAUUCUCCUGCCUCAGCAUCUCGAAUAGCUGGGAAUACAGGCACCCGCUACCAUGCCCAGCUAAUUUUUGUAUUUUUAAUAGAGACGAGGUUUCACCAUGUUGGCCAGGCUGGUCUGGAACGCCUGACCUCAAGUGAUCUACCUGCCUUGGCCUGCCAAAGUUCUGGGAUUACAGGUGUGAGGCACUGCACCUGGCCUGCCCUAACUCCCGUUAGGAAUAUGGGAAACUCUUUUCCCAAAGCAGCCUGCACCUCGGUCUUCCCACCCCACCCUACUGAAGAAGGCUCCCAGAAACCAGCUUUGCUGAGCCCAGAACGGCCUGGCUCUGGCAGAUUUGCCCCCAGGCUGCAAGUGGGCGGCAGCACUCCCCCUACAUGUCCCUUUCUAUUUCCUGCCCCUCCCCCUGAGUCUUCCUUUCAUUCUUGCAGCCAGCUCCCAGCCCUGCUUCCCUGCCAGGACCCCAAUUCCCUAACUCCCUGGCAUCAAGACCUGCAUGGAUGUCCCCUGCACUUGUUUUGUCCCCGGAUGUGGCUCCUUGGACUGUCCAGCCCCACACCUGGCCUCUUGUUUCCCACCAGCUACAGCGGCCAAGGCUCCAGCAGGCCUUGUACUUGGCUGGCCCAGGCUUGGCUUUGAUGGACCAGUGACCCAAAUAAGUGACCUUGGAAAGGUCUUCCUAAAGGUGGUGGAGACCAUGUUCUUGAGAGUUGGAGUGGUGUUGGCUUGAGUGUGGGGCUGAGAUCUCACCCAGUGCUAGGGUCCAGGCUGCGAAAUGAGGCAUAGGAUGAGAGAGGUUCUGAGCCACAAAUGGGGUCCAUACCUAAGAGGAUGGGAUCAACCUAGGGAAGGAUUUGGAGGAGAGGCGUGUGUGGAAACAGAGCCUGGAUGCUGAGUCCCUGGAGGCCGGAGUGGGCCCUGGGGCACAGGGAGCCCCUGGCCCCGCCACUGAUGCCAAUUGGGGUGUCAGUCCCCCAACAAAUUCAGUCUGUCCAUAUCUAUUGCUGACACAGGGUUUAGAGAGGGCUUAAAUUCAGAUAAAUGGAAUUUGAAUUCCCUCUUUGUCUCUCAAAUGUGUGAAUUUUGGCAGCCAAGUUCCUCUCUCUGAGCCCAGUUUGUCCAUCUCAAGAUUGUGUGUGAUCAUACCCACCACACUGGGCCACCAGGAGGAAUGAGCGAAGCACCUCAUGUCAAAUGCCUGGCCCAGGCCUGUGUCUGGCAGGGACUCAUGGCUGCGGAAGGGUCAUUAUUUGCCCCCAGGGAUUUCUAGAGAGGAUCAGGAUGCCACGAGGGAUGCUAUUGGAAGCAAGUCACACAGAAGCCAGAGCCCUGGGCUUUCCUAGCAGCACUGGACAUGGGGCAGGGAACAAACCCGAGCCACACUUCUCAGAGGGUGGGCAUGGCAUUGAAAACGACGUGUGUAGGAAGCUUUUCCAAUACACAAGCUGGGCCCCGCCCCAGAACCUUGAGGGGCAGGAGGAGCACUGAGACAACCUUGGGUGGGGUGAGGCAGGGGGACGGCGGGGGGAGAUUUCCAGUCCCUUAGCUGGCGGAAGACUCCUGAGCUGGCAGAGAGCCCUCUUCUUGAAAGACUCUCAUGCACAGGCCAUCAGGAGGAUCACAAAGUUGUUUAUUUUCCCACCUAUAAGAAAAGAUGGAUGAUGCAGAGUGCCGAGAAAUCCC